rnacentral:lncRNA from 1 species
ACGUACUUGACUACAAGUUAGUAAGGACUUUGGCGCGAAAUAAUCAUACAUGAAAUUUAGAUUUGCAUGUGAUGUUAUCGGUAGGUAUAUAGUAUAGGCCUUGCCAACGCAGUCUAUUUUUUGUUCAGACCUGUUUCAGUUUGGUCAUACAAUUUAUUACCUAGGCCUUGCCAUUUAUUUUUUUUUCAGACCUGUAUGUUUCAGGUUCGUCGUACAAUUUAUUGCCUACAGGUCCAGUCAAGCUCCGUUCAAUUUUUUAAUCUGAC